GCAAUUAAUCCCAAAUUGAUUAAGCAAUCAAAUACAAAAAAUUCUCCCCUCCCACGUCCCAGCAAUUACGUCUCAGCAAUUACUCCCUCUUCACCCAUUCCUGCAAAUCUUUCCUAAUUUUGGACGCAAUCAAAGUGAAAUCAAGCACCAAAAAUUGCUCUCAGUACACAGAUAUAUAAAUCUUCCUACCCUAAUCUCCUUCCCUCACACAAAUUCGCAGCCACUCACUUCUCACUGUUGAAUCGCAAAGCGGCGGAGGGAGCAGUAGGAAGAAACUUUAUUUUUCCUCACCGAAUCCUAAUUCCAUCACGGUAACCACUCUCUCAUCCUCCUUUCAUGUUCUUCCUCAUAAAAUGAAAUAUCGUUUACCCCAAAGCCUUCUGACAGAAACUAGGAUCGAUUCGAGAGGGGGACAAGCCAGAAACUGCAAUCUUUUGUUUCAAUCCAAUCUGUUCUUUUGAAGGUGAAUCCUCGCAAGCGAAACGUGAUACCAAGGGGAAGAAAAUACUUGUGAUCUAAGCAGUCGAGGUUGAGCGGCGACGAGCGGUUGGCGGUGUUGAGCAAAUUAAAUGAAGAAUUAAA